UGGUAAUUUGAAGAAGUUGGAACGCUGCUCUUAGGCUCAUUUACGUCAUUUACUAAAAGAGAAAUUCAUAUGGACUGUUUCCUCUCUACCUGUACCCAAGAUCUUACCUUUCAAAUGGUAAUAAAGACUUUGAAAUUUUAACUGAGGUUUGGCUGGCUGACCUAUACAUAACGUGAAG